UAGGGAAUCUUCCACAAUGGACGCAAGUCCGAUGGAGCAACGCCGCGUGAGUGAAGAAGGUCUUCGGAUCGUAAAGCUCUGUUGUUGGUGAAGAAGGAUAGAGGCAGUAACUGGUCUUUAUUUGACGGUAAUCAACCAGAAAGUCACGGCUAACUACGUGCCAGCAGCCGCGGUAAUACGUAGGUGGCAAGCGUUGUCCGGAUUUAUUGGGCGUAAAGCGAGCGCAGGCGGAAUGAUAAGUCUGAUGUGAAAGCCCACGGCUCAACCGUGGAACUGCAUCGGAAACUGUCAUUCUUGAGUGCAGAAGAGGAGAGUGGAACUCCAUGUGUAGCGGUGGAAUGCGUAGAUAUAUGGAAGAACACCAGUGGCGAAGGCGGCUCUCUGGUCUGCAACUGACGCUGAGGCUCGAAAGCAUGGGUAGCGAACAGGAUUAGAUACCCUGGUAGUCCAUGCCGUAAACGAUGAGCGCUAGGUGUUGGGGACUUUCCGGUCCUCAGUGCCGCAGCAAACGCAUUAAGCGCUCCGC
rnacentral:rRNA from 1 species